rnacentral:rRNA from 1 species
CAGGACGAACGCUGGCGGCGUGCCUAAUACAUGCAAGUCGAACGGUCUUUUCUAUGGAAGCUUGCUUCCACUGAAAAGAUAGUGGCGAACGGGUGAGUAACACGUGGGUAACCUGCCCAUAAGAGGGGGAUAACAUCCGGAAACGGGUGCUAAUACCGCAUAGUUUUCUUGAUCGCAUGAUCGGGAAAGGAAAGACGGCCUUUGUGCUGUCGCUUAUGGAUGGACCCGCGGCGUAUUAGUUAGUUGGUGAGGUAACGGCUCACCAAGACGAUGAUACGUAGCCGACCUGAGAGGGUGAUCGGCCACAUUGGGACUGAGACACGGCCCAAACUCCUACGGGAGGCAGCAGUAGGGAAUCUUCCGCAAUGGACGAAAGUCUGACGGAGCAACGCCGCGUGAGUGAAAGAAGGUUUUCGGAUCGUAAAACUCUGUUGUCAGAGAAGAACAAGUUGGAGAGUAACUGCUCCAGCCUUGACGGUAUCUGACCAGAAAGCCACGGCUAACUACGUGCCAGCCGCCGC